UCCCUGGUGGUCUAGUGGUUAGGAUAUGGUGCUCUCACCACCACGGCCUGGGUUCGAUUCCCUGUCAAGGAA